rnacentral:rRNA from 1 species
AAUAGGGGAGCCGAAGGGAAACCGAGUCUUAACUGGGCGUCUAGUUGCAAGGUAUAGACCCGAAACCCGGUGAUCUAGCCAUGGGCAGGUUGAAGGUUGGGUAACACUAACUGGAGGACCGAACCGACUAAUGUUGAAAAAUUAGCGGAUGACUUGUGGCUGGGGGUGAAAGGCCAAUCAAACCGGGAGAUAGCUGGUUCUCCCCGAAAUCUAUUUAGGUAGAGCCUUGAGCGGACACCUUCGGGGGUAGAGCACUGUUUCGGCUAGGGGUCCAUCCCGGAUUACCAACCCGAUGCAAACUACGAAUACCGAAGAGUGAUACUCAGGAGACACACGGCGGGUGCUAACGUCCGUCGUGGAGAGGGAAACAACCCAGACCGCCAGCUAAGGUCCCAAAGUCUAUAUUAAGUGGGAAACGAAGUGGGAAGGCUUAGACAGCUAGGAUGUUGGCUUAGAAGCAGCCAUCAUUUAAAGAAAGCGUAAUAGCUCACUAGUCGAGUCGGCCUGCGCGGAAGAUGUAACGGGGCUCAAAUAUAGCACCGAAGCUGCGGCAUCAG